UACGUAGGGUGCAAGCGUUAAUCGGAAUUACUGGGCGUAAAGCGUGCGCAGGCGGUCUUGCAAGACAGAUGUGAAAUCCCCGGGCUCAACCUGGGAACUGCAUUUGUGACUGUAGAGCUGGAGUGCGGCAGAGGGGGAUGGAAUUCCGCGUGUAGCAGUGAAAUGCGUAGAGAUGCGGAGGAACACCAGUGGCGAAAGCGACUUUCUGGUCCUUAACUGACGCUGAGGCGCGAAAGCAUGGGGAGCGAACGGG
rnacentral:rRNA from 1 species